rnacentral:tRNA from 1 species
GCCUGGGUGGCUCAGUCAGUUGAGCGUCUGACUUCGGCUCAGGUCAUGAUCUCACACUCCGUGAGUUCAAGCCCCAUGUCGGGCU